rnacentral:hammerhead_ribozyme from 1 species
CGGCGAAACCACGCGAUAGUCCCGCCAGGAUGCGCGUGGUCCGCACGGGAUGGCUUCCCGUGCGCUGAUGAUGCCAAGCCAAGA